rnacentral:rRNA from 1 species
GACGAACGCUGGCGGCGUGCUUAACACAUGCAAGUCGAACGGAAAGGCCCGGCUUUUGUGGGUUGCUCGAGUGGCGAACGGGUGAGUAACACGUGAGUAACCUGCCCUUGACUUUGGGAGAACUUCACGAAAAUGGGGCGAAUAUCGGAUAGGAUCUCCUGCUGCAUGGGGGGGGUUGGAGAGUUUCGGCGGUUGGGUAUGGACUCGCUGCUUAUCAGCUUGUUGGUGGGGUAGUUGCUUACCAAGGCUUUGACGGGUAGCCGGCCUGAGAGGGUGACCGGCGACAUUGGGACUGAGAUACGGACCAGUCUCCUACGGGAGGCAGCAGUGGGGAAUAUUGCACAAUGGGCCGACGCCUGAUGCAGAAACGCCGCGUGCGGGAUGACGGCCUUCGGGUUGUAAACCGCUUUCGCAUGUGACGAAGAGUGCGUGACGGUAAUGGGUAAAGAAGCACCGGCUAACUACGUG